AGUGCAUGUGGUGGAUGCCUUGGCAGUCAGAGGCGAUGAAAGACGUGAUAGCCUGCGAAAAGCUCCGGGGAGGCGGCAAAUAUCCUUUGAUCCGGAGAUGUCUGAAUGGGGGAACCCACCUACUUUAAGGUAGGUAUUGCAACAUGAAUACAUAGUGUUGCAAGGCGAACGAGGGGAAGUGAAACAUCUCAGUACCCUUAGGAAAAGAAAUCAAUUGAGAUUCCCUCAGUAGCGGCGAGCGAACGGGGAUCAGCCCAUUAAGUUAUGUGUGUUUUAGUGGAACGCUCUGGGAAGUGCGAACGUAGAGGGUGAUAUUCCCGUACACGAAAGGGCACACAUAAUGAUGACGAGUAGGGCGAGGCACGUGAAACCUUGUCUGAAUAUGGGGGGACCAUCCUCCAAGGCUAAAUACUCCUGACUGACCGAUAGUGAACCAGUACCGUGAGGGAAAGGCGAAAAGAACCCCUGUGAGGGGAGUGAAAUAGAUCCUGAAACCGCAUGCAUACAAGCAGUGGGAGCACCUUCGUGGUGUGACUGCGUACCUUUUGUAUAAUGGGUCAGCGACUUAUAUUCAGUAGCRAGGUUAACCGUAUAGGGGAGCCGUAGAGAAAUCGAGUCUUAAUAGGGCGUUUAGUUGCUGGGUAUAGACCCGAAACCAGGCGAUCUAUCCAUGAGCAGGUUGAAGGUUGGGUAACACUAACUGGAGGACCGAACCCACUGUCGUUGAAAAGCCAGGGGAUGACUUGUGGAUAGGGGUGAAAGGCUAAUCAAGCCUGGUGAUAGCUGGUUCUCCCCGAAAGCUAUUUAGGUAGCGCCUCGGACGAAUACCAUAGGGGGUAGAGCACUGUUUCGGCUAGGGGGUCAUCCCGACUUACCAAACCGAUGCAAACUCCGAAUACCUAUGAGUACUAUCCGGGAGACAGACUGCGGGUGCUAACGUCCGUAGUCAAGAGGAAAACAAUCCAGACCGCCAGCUAAGGCCCCAAAAUCAUAGUUAAGUGGGAAACGAUGUGGGAAGGCAUAGACAGCUAGGAGGUUGGCUUAGAAGCAGCCACCCUUUAAAGAAAGCGUAAUAGCUCACUAGUCGAGUCGGCCUGCGCGGAAGAUGUAACGGGGCUAAAACUAUGUGCCGAAGCUGCGGAUGUAUACUUUGUAUACGUGGUAGGGGAGCGUUCUGUAAGCCGAUGAAGGUGURUUGAGAAGYAUGCUGGAGGUAUCAGAAGUGCGAAUGCUGACGUGAGUAACGACAAAACGGGUGAAAAACCCGUUCGCCGAAAGACCAAGGGUUCCAGUCCAACGUUAAUCGGGGCUGGGUGAGUCGACCCCUAAGGCGAGGCCGAAAGGCGUAGUCGAUGGGAAAAUGGUUAAUAUUCCAUUACUUCUGUGUAAUGCGAUGAGAGGACGGAGAAGGCUAAAUCAGCCUGGCGUUGGUUGUCCAGGUGAAAGGAUGUAGGCAUGUAUCUUAGGCAAAUCCGGGGUACUCUAUGCUGAGAUCUGAUAGCAAGCUGUACUUGUACAGCGAAGUGGUUGAUGCCAUGCUUCCAGGAAAAGUCUCUAAGCUUCAGUUACACAGGAAUCGUACCCGAAACCGACACAGGUGGUCAGGUCGAGUAGACCAAGGCGCUUGAGAGAACUCUGCUGAAGGAACUAGGCAAAAUGGUACCGUAACUUCGGGAGAAGGUACGCUGUUGUUGGUGAUGGAACUCGCUUCCUGAGCUGACGACAGCCGCAGAAACCAGGCCGCUGCAACUGUUUAUUAAAAACAUAGCACUCUGCAAACACGAAAGUGGACGUAUAGGGUGUGAUGCCUGCCCGGUGCUGGAAGGUUAAUUGAUGGGGUUAGCGUAAGCGAAGCUCUUGAUCGAAGCCCCAGUAAACGGCGGCCGUAACUAUAACGGUCCUAAGGUAGCGAAAUUCCUUGUCGGGUAAGUUCCGACCUGCACGAAUGGCAUAAUGAUGGCGGCGCUGUCUCCAGCAGAGGCUCAGU
rnacentral:rRNA from 1 species